GGAGCCCCAUCCCAGAUCACACCCUUGAGCCUGAGCCCGACCCGCAUUAUCCUGAGGAGAUGGGGUCUGGGAGCAGGCUGCUUCCCAGCCAGGUCCUGGACUUUGGAACCUUCCCUUGAGGAGCCUCCCUUCCCAGAGACAGAGCGGGAGCCGGGGAAGGUCCACGUGCCGCGGAGUUAAGUUAGGGCUAGACUCCCACAGGGUCCCUGGUGUGUUUCCCUCCUUCCCGGUUCCCAGGUCCCCCAGGUCCCGGCCUAGCCUCCAGCUGCCCAGGAGGGAACGUGCACCGGUGUCUGGCUGGGCCUGUCCCUGGACAGGAGCUCCUGGUCCAAGACUCCUCCCCUCCCCCGCCCCUUACUGGUAUCUGUGGGGACAGGGCAGGGGGCAGCAGGGUGAGGCUUCUGUGUUUCAGUGAGUCUGUUGGUGUAUCUAAGUGUGUGUGUGUGUGUUUCUCUGAGAGUACCAGGCUCAACUUUCUAUGGCUGCCUCGUGGCCUGGCCUCAGUCUUUUCAUCUGUACAGUGAGUCGAGGCGCCCCCUCUCUACCCCCUGGCCGCC
rnacentral:lncRNA from 1 species